rnacentral:tRNA from 3 species
GCGCCUGUAGCUCAGCUGGAUAGAGCGCCGGACUUCGAAUCCGUAGGUCGCAGGUUCGAAUCCUGCCGGGCGCA